CUACUUUUAAAAAUUAUCAAGUAAAAGUCAUUUUUAAAGCAAGUGUUGCUAAUACUAGGUCAUAUACCAUCACAAACUCCAAAAUGUUAUUUCUUUUCUUGUUUCUCUCUCUAAAACAAUAAUCUCUAUGCAUCCUUUUGAAGCCUACUAAAUAUUUCCUAUGUACUUAUUGAAAUCUCCUUUUGAUAAAUAUUUUUUCUCUAUUAGGAAUCUCUUGAAUUAGUCUAUCUAUAUCCUCCUAAUAGCAUUACUUUAUCGUAUCAUACAUUUCUACUUGAAGAGCAUAAGUACUAAUAAAAUUAAUAGACUAGUUUCUUAAUACUAAUUUUAUCGAGAUUAUUUUAUCUAUUACUCGUU
rnacentral:lncRNA from 1 species